rnacentral:lncRNA from 1 species
UUUAUGAAUUUUUAAUAAAUAUUUUUUCUUUAAAUAAUGGAUAAUAAGAAUUGUUAAUAAAAAAGAAAGAAAAACUCUCUUACACUCCAACGUCUCUCUCUGCUACAAAAAAGAACAAAAAGAAAAUAAAAGGAGGAAAAGGUGGUCAGAAGAUUGAAAAAAGGCGACACGUCUUAUCUUCUUUCCCACCCUGUCAUUCACGAAAAAGGAGGAAAGAAAAGGAGA